AUACUUACCUGGUUCUGGGGCCUCGUUGAUCACCGAAGACGAUCCACCAGGGCGAGGCACGGGCAUUGCACUGCGCUCGCGUUAACCCCUAGCACUAUCCUAAACUGGGGCAGAUGGGGCAUGCAAGUUUAUUAAAUUUGGUUCAGCGCAAAAAAGGGCGCCACCAC
rnacentral:snRNA from 1 species